rnacentral:rRNA from 1 species
GAUGAACGCUAGCGGCAGGCUUAAUACAUGCAAGUCGAGGGGGCAGCAAUGUCACCGGCGGACGGGUGCGUAACGCGUAUGAAACCUACCUUUAUCUGGGGGAUAGCCCGAAGAAAUUCGGAUUAACACCGCAUAAAAUCACAGUAUCGCAUGGUACAAUGAUCAAAUAUUUAUAGGAUGAAGAUGGGCAUGCGUGUCAU